AUUGAACGCUGGCGGCAGGCCUAACACAUGCAAGUCGAGCGAGCGGCGGACGGGUGAGUAAUGUAUGGGAAACUGCCCGAUCGAGGGGGAUAACUACUGGAAACGGUGGCUAAUACCGCAUACUAUCGGAUGAACCCAGAUGGGAUUAGCUAGUAGGUGGGGUAAAGGUUCACCUAGGCGACGAUCUCUAGCUGGUCUGAGAGGAUGACCAGCCACACUGGAACUGAGACACGGCCCAGACGCCGACGGGAGGCAGCAGUGGGGAAUAUUGCACAAUGGGCGCAAGCCUGAUGCAGCCAUGCCGCGUGUAUGAAGAAGGCCUUCGGGUUGUAAAGUACUUUCAGCGGGGAGGCGUUACCCGCAGAGGAAGCACCGGCUAACUCCGUGCCAGCAGCCGCGGUAAUAC
rnacentral:rRNA from 1 species